GGAUGAGAUAGUGGCAACUCUGACGCAGCCAUGCCGCGUGCAGGAAGAAGGCGCUACGCGUUGUAAACUGCUUUUAUCCGGGAAGAAACCCUCCGACGUGUCGGAGGUUGACGGUACCGGAGGAAUAAGCACCGGCUAACUUCGUGCCAGCAGCCGCGGUAAUACGAAGGGUGCAAGCGUUAUCCGGAUUCAUUGGGUUUAAAGGGUGCGUAGGCGGAGUGUUAAGUCAGUGGUGAAAUCCUGCAGCUCA
rnacentral:rRNA from 1 species